UCGGGAAUUUUGGGCAAUGGGCGAAAGCCUGACCCAGCAACGCCGCGUGAGGGAUGAAGUAUUUCGGUAUGUAAACCUCGAAAGAAUGGGAAGAAUAAAUGACGGUACCAUUUAUAAGCUCCGGCUAACUACGUGCCAGCAGCCGCGGUAAUACGUAGGGAGCAAGCGCUGUUCGGAUUUACUGGGCGUAAAGGGCGCGUAGGCGGCGCGGUAAGUCACUUGUGAAAUCUCUGAGCUUAACUCAGAACGGCCAAGUGAUACUGCUGUGCUAGAGUGCGGAAGAGGCAACCGGAAUUCUUGGUGUAGCGGUGAAAUGCGUAGAUAUCAAGAGGAUCACCUGAGGCGAAGGCGGGUUGUUGGGCCGACACUGACGCUGAUGCGCGAAAGCCAAGGGAGCAAACG
rnacentral:rRNA from 1 species